AAAUCACAGAUAACUACUAGGAGGCCUCACUCUGAGUAAUAUCAAAGUUUUUUCCCACAAGAACCGCUCGGAGAUGCCCGGACUCAGUUUUUAUUUUCGUCCCAAUACUUUUCUUCCAAUGGACUAGUUGUGUUUCUUUGAUCUUGUGCAACCUCUUUAGGCCGAUGAUAGCCAGCGGAUAGGUGUGGAAACCCAUCUAUAUUGCACCCAGUACGACACAGAAAAAAAGCCCAGGGGCCUAGGGGUCGGGUGGGGCUCGUUCGGGUGCACAACGGUUGCGCCAAAAACGGUCCAAAAAUGGCCAAGGCUUUACCAUACGAAAAAUCGGUCCGAUUUUUAACCAUGUGAGAAACGUCCCGAAAAUUCACAGAUAACUACUAGGAGGCCUCACUCUGAGUAAUAUCAAAGUUUUUUCCCACAAGAACCGCUCGGAAUGCCCGGACUCAGUUUUAUUUUCGUCCCAAUACUUUUCUUCCAAUGACUAGUUUGUUUCUUUGAUCUUGUGCAACCUCUUUAGCCGAUGAUAGCCCGGAUAGGUGUGGAAACCCAUCUAUAUUGCACCCAGUACGACACAGAAAAAAAGCCCAGGGCCUAGGGUCGUGGGGCUCGUUCGGGUGCACAACGGUUGCGCCAAAAACGGUCCAAAAAUGGCCAAGGCUUUACCAUACGAAAAAUCGGCCGAUUUUUAACCAUGUGACAAACGUCCCGAAAUUCACAGAUAACUACUAGGAGGCCUCACUCUGAGUAAUAUCAAAGUUUUUUCCCACAAGAACCGCUCGGAGAUGCCCGGACUCAGUUUUUAUUUUCGUCCCAAUACUUUUCUUCCAAUGACUAGUUGUGUUUCUUUGAUCUUGUGCAACCUCUUUAGGCCGAUGAUAGCCCCGGAUAGUGUGGAAACCCAUCUAUAUUGCACCCAGUACGACACAGAAAAAAAGCCCAGGGCCUAGGGUCGGGUGGGGCUCGUUCGGGGUGCACAACGGUUGCGCCAAAAAACGUCCAAAAAUGGCCAAGCUUUACCAUACGAAAAAUCGGUCCGAUUUUUAACCAUGUGAGAAACGUCCCGAAAAUUCACAGAUAACUACUAGGAGGCCUCACUCUGAGUAAUAUCAAAGUUUUUCCCACAAGAACCGCUCGGAGAUGCCCGACUCAGUUUUUUAUUUUCGUCCCAAUACUUUCUUCCAAUGGACUAGUUGUGUUUCUUUGAUCUUGUGCAACCUCUUUAGGCCGAUGAUAGCCCGCGGAUAGUGUGAAACCCAUCUAUAUUGCACCCAGUACGACACAGAAAAAAAGCCCAGGCCUAGGGGUCGGGUGGGCUCGUUCGGGGUGCACAACGGUUGCGCCAAAAACGGUCCAAAAAUGGCCAAGGCUUUACCAUACGAAAAAUCGGCCGAUUUUUAACCAUGUGAGAAACGUCCCGAAAAUUCACAGAUAACUACUAGGAGGCCUCACUCUGAGUAAUAUCAAAGUUUUUUCCCACAAGAACCGCUCGGAGAUGCCCG
rnacentral:lncRNA from 1 species